CUACGGGGUGCAGCAGUGGGGAAUAUUGGACAAUGGGGGAAACCCUGAUCCAGCAAUGCCGCGUGUGUGAAGAAGGCCUGCGGGUUGUAAAGCACUUUCGGUUGGGAGGACUGCUUCUAGCACUAAUAUUGUUGGAAGUUGACGUUACCUUCAGAAGAAGCACCGGCUAACUCCGUGCCAGCAGGCCGCGGUAAUACGGAGGGUGCAAGCGUUAAUCGGAAUUACUGGGCGUAAAGCGCGCGUAGGCGGCUAGAUCAGUCGGGUGUGAAAGCCCCGGGCUUAACCUGGGAACUGCAUCCGAUACUGUCUAGCUUGAGUACAGGAGAGGAGAGUGGAAUUCCACAUGUAGCGGUGAAAUGCGUAGAUAUGUGGAGGAACACCAAUGGCGAAGGCAGCUCUCUGGCCUGAUACUGACGCUGGGGUGCGAAAGCGUGGGGAGCAAACAGGAUUAGAUACCCUGGUAGUC
rnacentral:rRNA from 1 species